UACGUAGGGGGCAAGCGUUGUCCGGAAUCAUUGGGCGUAAAGCGCGUGUAGGCGGCCAGAUAAGUCCGUUCUGAAAGCCCGGGGCUCAACCCCGGGAGGCGGAUGGAUACUGUUUGGCUCGAGUCCGGAAGAGGCGAGUGGAAUUCCCGGUGUAGCGGUGAAAUGCGCAGAUAUCGGGAGGAACACCAAUGGCGAAGGCAGCUCGCUGGGACGGUACUGACGCUGAGACGCGAAAGCGUGGGGAGCGAACAGG
rnacentral:rRNA from 1 species